AAUAAACCCUGUAGAGAUCGAUC
rnacentral:piRNA from 1 species